GAAAUGAGCGGUAAGUCCGCUGUAGGUGGUUCUAGGUGUUCCCUUCCGUAGGUUGGCCAUAGCCUAGACAUAACGAGCCUGCAGGGCACGCUCAUUUU
rnacentral:ncRNA from 1 species